AGGACGAACGCUGGCGGCGUGCCUAACACAUGCAAGUGGAGCGACGAACCAGGCUUCGGCCUGGGGCAAAGCCGCGAACGGGUGAGUAACACGUGAGCAACCUGCCCUUAGCUUCGGGAUAGCUCCGGGAAACCGGAAUUAAUACCGAAUAUGAUUUUUGCUGACAUCAGCAGAAGUGGAAAGUUUUUCGGCUAGGGAUGGACUCGCGGCCUAUCAGCUAGUUGGUGAGGUAACGGCCCACCAAGGCGACGACGGGUA
rnacentral:rRNA from 1 species